UAGAGUUUGAUCCUGGCUCAGAUUGUACGCUGGCGGCAGGCCUAACACAUGCAAGUCGAGCGGCAGCGACAACAUUGAACCUUCGGGGGAUUUGUUGGGCGGCGAGCGGCGGACGGGUGAGUAAUGCCUGGGAAAUUGCCCUGAUGUGGGGGAUAACCAUUGGAAACGAUGGCUAAUACCGCAUGAUAGCUUCGGCUCAAAGAGGGGGACCUUCGGGCCUCUCGCGUCAGGAUAUGCCCAGGUGGGAUUAGCUAGUUGGUGAGGUAAGGGCUCACCAAGGCGACGAUCCCUAGCUGGUCUGAGAGGAUGAUCAGCCACACUGGAACUGAGGCACGGUCCAGACUCCUACGGGAGGCAGCAGUGGGGAAUAUUGCACAAUGGGCGCAAGCCUGAUGCAGCCAUGCCGCGUGUAUGAAGAAGGCCUUCGGGUUGUAAAGUACUUUCAGCAGUGAGGAAGGAGGUAUUGUUAAUAGCGGUAUCUUUUGACGUUAGCUGCAGAAGAAGCACCGGCUAACUCCGUGCCAGCAGCCGCGGUAAUACGGAGGGUGCGAGCGUUAAUCGGAAUUACUGGGCGUAAAGCGCAUGCAGGUGGUUUGUUAAGUCAGAUGUGAAAGCCCGGGGCUCAACCUCGGAAUUGCAUUUGAAACUGGCAGGUUAGAGUACUGUAGAGGGGGGUAGAAUUUCAGGUGUAGCGGUGAAAUGUCGUAGAGAUCUGAAGGAAUACCGGUGGCGAAGGCGGCCCCCUGGACAGAUACUGACACUCAGAUGCGAAAGCGUGGGGAGCAAACAGGAUUAGAUCCCCUGGUAGUCCACGCCGUAAACG
rnacentral:rRNA from 1 species